UGAUUUUAGCGAAGUCAAACGUCUUGGUCCCGCUACACCACACUAAGAUAUUUUUUCAGCUGAGUACCCCCUUCACCGGCACAAAACAUUUUGGGGAGAAAAAUAAAGAAAUAAUAUGAAUAAUAUAUGUGCGUUCUAUUUGGCAGCGUAAACACGAACAUUAAAAGGGUCACGUUCUAACCACUUGUCCUUUUUCUUUAUUUUCUAGAGCUGGUUUUACUGGGGGUGGUGCUGGUGCUACUGGGGGUGGUGGUGCUACUGGGGGUGGUGGUGCUACUGGAGGUGAUGGAAGGAGAAGCCCGCCUCGAGAUAAAAUCAAGAUUUGCCUGUUCUUCCUCGAAGGCAACUGUAUCCACCCCAGAGAAAAAUGUUUCGGAGCCCAUUACAGUCUGCCUUACAGCUGGGAAGUUCUGGAGGGCAAUCAGUGGACGCUGCUGGAUAGCUCAGAGAAGAUAGAAGAGGAUUACUGUAACCCCAAAAAAACAUAUAGGUAUGCAACACAGGAAAGUGUAUAGAUUUGAAGGUACUGAUAGGACAAGGAGGCUGGAGUCGUUACAAGCAGACCUGCCACUGCUCUUACAUCUCUAGUCAAAACCCUUUGGUUUAAAUUAGCAUACUCCAUUUAAUCCAUAUUUGAAACCCUUUUGGUUUAAAUUUGUCUAGUCUGUUAAAUCCAAGUUUGAAACCCUUUUUAUUUAAAUAAUCUUACACUGUUAAUCACAGUUUGAAACCGCUGUUGUUUCAAUUAACUGACUCGGUUCAAUACCAGUUCAAAACCCUUUUGGUUUAAAUUUGCCUAGUCCGUUUAAUCCCAUCUUGAAACCGUUUUUGUUUGAUUGACCCAACUCUGUUUAAUCCCCAUUUGAAACCCUUUUAGUUUGAAUGAGCCAACAUUGUUUAAUCCCAGUUUGAAACCCUUUUUGCUGAAAUGAGCCUACCCGGUUUAAUACCGGUUUCAAACCCUUUUCUUUUUAAAUUAGCCUAGUCCGUUUUAUUCCAGUUUGAAACCCUUUUUGUUAAAAUCAGUCUACUCCAUUAAUACCAGUUUGAAACCCUUUAUGUGGAAAUUAGCCUACUCCCUUUAAUCCCAGAUUGAAACCCUUUUGGUUGAAAUUAGCCCACUCAGUUUUUUCCCAGUUUGAAACCCUUUUUGUUUAAAUUAAUCUACUCUGUUUGAUCGCUGUUUGAAAUCCAUUUA